rnacentral:lncRNA from 1 species
GUUACCGACACCAGUGAUUCAUGCCACCAGGGAACCACCGACAUCGGAAACGAUCAUGCGCAAUGCAUUUCGCACAAUCUAGGCCGAGACAAAAGACGUAUUUGACGGUGGAAUCAUGAACAUGGUGCGAUGAUCAUCUUACAAGAGUCAAGGUUGCACGAUUAGCGUCAAGAAGACAGCUGACCCACUUCACCACGCCGCCCUUCACCGCCUCGCUUGCCGCUUCUCCAGGUGCAGUACCUUUAGAAUAGCACCGACAAUAAUCCACAACGUAAGCUCGGAACACUAACUGCACAUACGGGAUCAACCCUAGUGACAGAAUUCCCCCGAGCAAAACCAACACCACAAUCUCUAGAAUCGUGUGCAGUUUCCUACUGCCGACACUGGUCGGAUUCGGUACAUUUGUCGAUGUUGUGUUGUUGUGUGUGAUGAUUGGAUGGGUCCCUCCAGCUAGAUGUCGCAGUGGACUGUAGAGUGGGUUGCUCCGGUACAUCCCCGAGGCGUUUGGCUGGAAUGUGUCUGAGACUCUUUCUGGCUUGCCGCACGAGCUGCAUAGGCAGUACAUCGGAGUUGCAGUUGCUGGAAUCGAUUCUGGAGUUGAGCAGUUGAUGGAGGCUGCUUCUUCAGUGGUGAGGCUGUUUUUUUCGAGGUCGGAGGUCGUGGCGGUGACGGAGCCGCCGCCUUGCGAGGACUGGUUAGAGGAUUUUGUGGAGGAUUGUUGGGAAGUGUUCAUCGGGGCUUGGUUUAAUUCUGGUGAUGCCAAGCAUAAUUCCACGGGUUGAGUUUGAGGUUCUCGUUGCAGUGGAUGCGAGCGAGGCGAGGUGCUCUGAAGUUGGAAGGUCUGUUGCGGCGUGAACAGCCCUGAAGUCGGUUUUCUAGGCAUCACCCACUGUGGAUAGGAAGAUGCUUUGCGUGGCGAUUUUGUUGAAGUGGUAAAUGGGAGGGG